rnacentral:rRNA from 1 species
GGUUCAUUCAAAUUUCUGCCCUAUCAACUUUCGAUGGUAGUGUAUUGGACUACGAUGGUUUCAACGGGUAACGGGGAAUUAAGGUUCUAUUCCGGAGAGGGAGCCUGAAAAACGGCUACCACAUCCAAGGAAGGCAGCAGGCGCGCAAAUUACCCAAUCCCGACACGGGGAGGUAGUGACAAUAAAUACUGAUACAGGGCUCUUUUGGGUCUUGUAAUUGGAAUGAGUACAAUUUAAAUCCCUUAACGAGGAACAAUUGGAGGGCAAGUCUGGUGCCAGCAGCCGCGGUAAUUCCAGCUCCAAUAGCGUAUAUUAAAGUUGUUGCAGUUAAAAAGCUCGUAGUUGAACCUUGGGCCUGGCUGGCCGGUCCGCCUCAUCGCGUGCACCUGGUCCGGCCGGGCCUUUCCUCCUGGAGAGCCGCAUGCCCUUCGCUGGGUGUGUCGGGGAACCAGGACUUUUACUUUGAAAAAAUUAGAGUGUUCAAAGCAGGCCUAUGCUCGAAUACAUUAGCAUGGAAUAAUAGAAUAGGACGUGUGGUUCUAUUUUGUUGGUUUCUAGGACCGCCGUAAUGAUUAAUAGGGAUAGUCGGGGGCAUCAGUAUUCAAUUGUCAGAGGUGAAAUUCUUGGAUUU